CUCUGCCAACCCUCCAGGGUUUAAUGUCUUCAACGUGUCCAUGGGCUGGAACAACAAGGGACCCAGGGGGGGAGGACUCAAACAGCUGGAGCAGAUUCUGUCCAUGGGCUUCAAGAACAAAUUCUACAACGCCAGCGUGAAGAGGCCGGCCCAGGGCUCCAGUCCACGUCUUGAUGA